GUGGGCUCACGACAACACUACUUAGUUUCCAACUGAAAAUUUCUGUUUGAAGUACCUAAAAUAAUAUGAUGUCCAAGCACAGAAUUUAAAAGACAGUGCUUAUGUGGGCUCACGAUUACAACCAGUAGAAGUUAAACGAUAUAGCAAAGAUAAUUAUAUAUAUAUAUCGGCCAUUCACCAGUUACACUCAAAUUUUCCCAACAUUGAUUGAACAAUAAUACAAUGUUCAUCUAAAAAUGAGAUAUUGUAUGAUUGUAAAUGAGACAGCUUUUCACCAAAGACAAAAAGAUCAGAUGUAAACAAAUACAUAUAACUAUACGUUCGGCUAUCGGCAAUUAAAAAACCCCAUAUCGUAUAGUAAACUAUAAAAGACACCGGCAUAACACAAUGUGAAGUAAAUCGAAAGAGAAAAUAAAUCCAUGUUGAUACAAUAACCUCAACACAUUGUGCAGUAGGCGAAAAAAAAGAGCCUCCGUUUAAAAUGCUCCUGACUUUUCCUUUCAAAGAUUAGCACAUUUGUUAUAUAUCUUUUUAGUAUUAAAAAAAGAAACAAAACUACUCAAUUGAUGAACUGAAAAUUUCUGUAAAAGUAAUUAAAGUCAUAUGUUCCAAGGUGAAAGAGUGCACUGCCGGAAAACG
rnacentral:lncRNA from 1 species